rnacentral:rRNA from 1 species
AAGCAGGGGAUCGUAAGACCUUGCGCUUUUGGAGUGGCCGAUGCCUGAUUAGCUAGUUGGUGGGGUAAGGGCCUACCAAGGCGACGAUCAGUAGUUGGUCUGAGAGGACGACCAGCCACACUGGGACUGAGACACGGCCCAGACUCCUACGGGAGGCAGCAGUGGGGAAUUUUGGACAAUGGGCGGAAGCCUGAUCCAGCAAUGCCGCGUGAGUGAAGAAGGCCUUCGGGUUGUAAAGCUCUUUCAGUCGAGAAGAAAAGGUUGCGACUAAUAAUCGCAACUUAUGACGGUAUCGACAGAAGAAGCACCGGCUAACUACGUGCCAGCAGCCGCGGUAAUACGUAGGGUGCGAGCGUUAAUCGGAAUUACUGGGCGUAAAGGGUGCGCAGGCGGCUCUGUAAGUCAGAUGUGAAAUCCCCGGGCUUAACCUGGGAAUUGCGUUUGAAACUACAAAGCUUAGA